UUUUCAGGUGGUUUAAUCUGAACCAAGAUCCAGUCUGAGUACAUUUUGUUAAAUCCCCAACUGAAAAUCUCUGCAACAACUUGGCAAUGGAAUGUGAAGGAGCUGAACAAGGAAGGACCAGAUGACUGACUCAUGGGGUUUGGUUGAAGGAGAUGAGGGCAAGGAGAAAAGGGAUAUGAAGAGGGUUGUAGAGGUUGUGGGAGGAAGGAGAUAGAAAAGGCCUUUGGCAAAGAUAUUUUUCUGCCUACAUUUAUGUUGGCCAUAUGGGGAUGCCAUAAAUAUCUUGAACACUGGAGGAGCUAGGUGUGGCACCAGACAUCAAGAUGGCCCUCAAGAAUUCUAGCCUCCUGGUAUUCAUGUUCUUAUAUAGUCUCCUCCAACACUGAAAAGGGCUGACCUGUGUAACUAAUAGGAUAUUGUGGAAAUGAUGGAGUUUGUCUUCUGAGGCUAGAUCAUGAAAGACAUGUGGUCCUUGGACCACUUAAUCAUGAAGAAGACAGCUGCCAUGUUGUGAGGACUCUCAAGCAGCUCUGUGGAGAGGUCCAUAGGUAAGGAACUGAGAACCCCCUCCAAGUGAGCAAUCUUGGAGGUAUAUCCUUUCCUCUCAGUCAAGCCUUCAGAUGACUACAGCCUGGGCUGGUAUCUUGACUGCAACCUUAUGAGAAACCCUGAGCCAACACCAGCUAAGAUUCUCCUGAAUUCCUCACCCUAAGAAACUGAGAUAAUAAAUCUGUGUUGGUUUAAGCCACGUGUAUUGAGAUAACUAAUUAUGUGGCAAUAGAAAACUAAUACACUAAGAGAUGAAUUAAAUAGAGAAUCCACUCCAAGAUUCCACUGUUCUGUGGAUUAUAUAGAGGUUGAACAUGUUGCUCCAAUCUAAGCUAUUUGUUUAUUCUUUUAAAUUCUGUGUGUCUGCUUGACUGGCCCACAAGACUCUAGGAUUAUCAAGUAUACUACCCUACCCUUCCAUAAUAAAAGGUGUAGGCUGGGUGAGGUGGCUUAUGCUGGUAAUCCCAGUGCUUUGGAAGGCUGAGGUGGGAGGAUCACUUGAGGCCACGAGUUCAAGAUCAGCCUGGGCAACAUAGUGAGGCCAGGAGAUCAAGACCAGCCUGGGUGACGGAGUCAGACUCUGUCUCUAGAAGUAAGCAAAUAGGUAGUUAAAUAAAUAAAUAAAAUAAAGGGUGUGGUGUUUGGGUUACAAUUUUAAAUGCUGAAAUUUAAGAAAUUAAGAAAUAUACAAUGAAAUGAUAUAACUCAUUAACAGUUAUUAUUUGCAUAUAAAAGUAAAUACAGUUGUGAGAGACUGAAUACUAUGAAUAAAAUCACAUGGUGUGCACCUGUCACAGUCAUCAGUUUCACAUGUUCCUGCUGAAAAUAGUUGAACUCUUAGUUCCUCAAUACCAUUGACCUUUUCUUUUUUGAAAAAAAAAAAAAAUAAAUCUAUUUCUACUGUAAUUUGCUAUCACAUAUUGUGUCCUUCCCCUUUUAAAAACAAUGUUAUUUCUGUCUCUUUUUAUAAUAGAAUAUUCUAAAAUCUUCUGUUUGUAUUCUACAUUGCAGCUUCAUUUCAAAUCCAAAUCCUUACAAUUGGCAUUGCUUAGCAAAUUAACAAUGAUAUACUUCGGUAGAUAUCUUGUUAUGCUUUCUAUUGUUUUAUGUAACAAUUUGGCAAUUGCAUAAAUAGACAUGUAUCAAUGAUUCUAAUAAUUGAAAUGGCAUUUCCAGUUCCCCUUUAAGUGGAG
rnacentral:lncRNA from 1 species